CGCUUAUAAUAUUAUCGUACGUCUAUGACAAUAUACAUUUCGUUAUACUUAUUAUAAUUUAAUACGAGUAAAAGUUUAUGUAUAUUAUAUAAUAUACUGCGUAUUUCACGUGACAUUUAGAAAAAAAAAAAAUGAUUCUGGAGAACUUUUUUUUUUUACCGACGAUUCCGCGCAUACCUUUUCGUUCGCACGAUUCCGCGUACGAAAUAAUAUUAUAAUAUAGCUAUACCAUCGCGAUUCCGUGAAAGAUUGAAAGGUCGUCAAAAUUAUAUUUUAUGUGACGGAACGGACAUGACGUCGUCGUAUAUUAUCCGAGCCAGUAUGGAAUUGUCGAACGUACGUUAGGUAAAGCGGCCAGUGACGGGGGGGGGNGGGGGGGGGGGGUGGAGGUCGGCGUUGCGGCGGUGUUUCCUCAAACGCACGCGAAAACCGUCAAUGAGAGAUAAAGGACUUUUUUUUUGUUCCGUCGUGACCACUGGUCGGCAGAGAAACGCGAAAUUUCAUGUGGUUCGUGCCGGAGAAACGGGUUGCGGCCCAGAAUAUGCGGCCCGACUUAUUGUUAUUAAAACGUGUUUAUAGACUGAAGGUCUUGAAGAUAUUCUACAAUCGUUGUUAAAAGCAUAGUAUUAAAAGCACACGUAGUUCGUCGCACAACACGCGACAGCUGACGGACACACGGUCAAUUAAACCGCCUGUAAUAAAUGUUAACAAAAUUUCGUCUUAUCGGAUCUUCCAGUUGGAUGUGUUGAACGUGAUGUGCACGAUGCCCGACAAUUGUAUGAGAUACUUUUUUAAGACAUUUUUUGAUCAUUUCUGACGGUCGAGGAGAAAAAGAAAAAUAUUAAUAUACGACCAGGCGACGCGUGUUGUACCGGGGUCGACAACCGUCCUACAUUGGGCAGGGUUAUUUGAUGUGUCCUACGUCCAAAACCGCUUUAAAUCGUACGCAAGACAGUCCUAAAUAUCCAUACGUAGACCUCGGAGUUCAAGGUAUAAGAACAAAUAUCUUAUUUUAUUAUAAAACGUUUUUAUUAUUAUAUAUACAGAUGUAACAGUGUUCUAUUUUUUGAUUCAAGCUUGUUUUUUUUUUUCUGAUUAUUAUGUAUUUAUAGUACAUAUGUAUAUACAUUAGAAUUUCGGAUUAAUAAUAAAAACAUAGCUGUACCUGAAAAUCAAACAUUUUCCGAAAUAUUUGUCUCAUCAGAGCCAGUGAUAAGGGGCGGGGGGGGGGGGUUAGAGUCAAGGAAAAACCUUGUGUCGGCACUGUCCCGCAUUCUGUAUUUAAACAGUAAACGACCCUAUAUAACGCGUGUAACGAUAAUUUUUCAGCGGAACCAUUUUCUAAACUAAUUUUUGGCGGAAAUAAAAAUCAUAAAAUCAUUUUUUUUAUUUUGUAUAGAUCCGCGGAAUCGUGCAGUAGGUAAGAGUAAAAAAAAAGAAAAAAAAAAGAAAAAUGCUUAUUGCGCGGAAUCCUGCGGCCGUUAUCCGUUUUCACAAGCGAUUUACAAUACGUUUUCCGGAUACAUUUUAAGAGCGGGGCGGGUGAACUUUAACAAUAGCACGGGACGAAUAAAAUAAUAAAAAAAAAAAAAAAAAAAAAAAAAAAAACAACAACAAUACAAUGUCGAUACGGCUGUAUAUUGUUAUAAAGUUGCGGCACACACUUAUAUUGUAUUAUUAUCGGCAAUGUCGCGACUCGCUUAUUAUUGUGAAAAAUUCUACCUAAUAGUAUGAUGAUAAUAAUAAUAAUAAAAAAAAACCAAAAAACUAAAAAAAAUUUCGUUAUUGUCGUAACCGUAACACAAUAUUAUUAUUAUUAUUAUUAUUAUAUCGGUCGGUUGUCCGAUCGGUGCAAUCGGUACUCACAAAAUAUUAUCAUGUCCGUAUUAUUUGCGGACUUGUCGCGGUGCGAACGUUUCGCACGGGGUCCCUGACAACGUUCCGCGAUGUAAAAUUUAUUUAUUAUGUAAUUUUUGAAAUUCAUUUUUUAGAUUUUUCAAACUGGCACCACAGAGUCCGCGAGGCUUUUCGAAAACCUGCCGAAAAACCUCUACACCGACUUAACAGGACGUUAUUGCGGAAAGUAGUUGGCUGACCCUGGCUGAAAAGUUAUAACACAAAGUUAUUUCCGGUGCGAAUUGGUCACUACACUUGGAUUUAUCAUAUCAAAAAAAAAAACAUAUUUUAAUCAGUUUGUAUUAAAAAAAUUUAGUCAAACGCAUUUUUCAUUUUUAAGGUCUUUUUUCGGGGAGUUAGGAGAAUUUUUUUUAACAUUUUUUUAAAUUAAUUACCGUACGCAUACUAUGGUUUUUAUGAA